GCAGCCGCGGUAAUACGGAGGAUGCGAGCGUUAUCCGGAUUUAUUGGGUUUAAAGGGUGCGCAGGCGGCGCGCCAAGUCAGCGGUCAAAGUUCCGGGCUCAACCCGGUGUCGCCGUUGAAACUGGCGUGCUCGAGUGCGUGCGAGGAAGGCGGAAUGCGUUGUGUAGCGGUGAAAUGCAUAGAUAUGACGCAGAACUCCGAUUGCGAAGGCAGCUUUCCAGCGCGCUACUGACGCUGAGGCACGAAAGCGUGGGGAUCGAACAGGAUUAGAUACCCC
rnacentral:rRNA from 1 species